CCUACGGGAGGCAGCAGUGGGGAAUAUUGCACAAUGGGGGAAACCCUGAUGCAGCGAAGCCGCGUGAGUGAAGAAGUAUUUCGGUACGUAAAGCUCUAUCAGCAGGGAAGAAAAAAAGUCCUUUGGACUUUGGACGGUACCUGACUAAGAAACCCCGGCUAACUACGUGCCAGCAGCCGCCGUAAUACGUAGGGGGCAAGCGUUAUCCGUAAUUACGGGGUGUAAAGGGAGCGUAGACGGCAUCGCAAGUCUGGAGUGAAAGGCCGGGGGCCAACCCCGGAACUGCUUUGGAAACUGUGGAGCUGGAGUGCAGGAGAGGUAAGCGGAAUGCCUAGUGUAGCGGUGAAAUGCGUAGAUAUUAGGAGGAACACCAGUGGCGAAGGCGGCUUACUGGACUGUAACUGACGUUGAGGCUCGAAAGCGUGGGGAGCAAACAGGAUUAGAUACCCCGGUAGUC
rnacentral:rRNA from 1 species